GUGCCAGCAGCCGCGGUAAUACGUAGGUGGCAAGCGUUGUCCGGAAUUAUUGGGCGUAAAGGGCGUGUAGGCGGCCAGACAAGUCUGUCUUAAAAGUGCGGGGCUCAACCCCGUGAUGGGAUGGAAACUGUCGGGCUAGAGUGUCGGAGAGGAAAGCGGAAUUCCUAGUGUAGCGGUGAAAUGCGUAGAUAUUAGGAGGAACACCAGUGGCGAAAGCGGCUUUCUGGACGACAACUGACGCUGAGGCGCGAAAGCCAGGGGAGCAAACGGGAUUAGAUACCCCGGUAGUCCUGGCCGUAAACGAUGGGUACUAGGUGUAGGAGGUAUCGACCCCUUCUGUGCCGGAGUUAACGCAAUAAGUAUCCCGCCUGGGGAGUACGGCCGCAAGGCUGAAACUCAAAUAAAUUGACGG
rnacentral:rRNA from 1 species